GAACGCGAAAGUGGUGCAUCCAUGAGUAAAGUGGCGCACAGGGUGAGUAACACGUGACUAACCUACCCUUGAGUGGGGGAUAACCUAGGGAAACCUGGGCUAAUACCGCAUAAUACCUACGGGUCAAAGGAGCAAUUCGCUUAAGCGAGGGGGUCGCGGCCGAUUAGUUAGUUGGCGGGGUAAUGGCCCACCAAGACGAUGAUCGGUAUCCGGCCUGAGAGGGCGCACGGACACACUGGAACUGAAACACGGUCCAUACUCCUACGGGAGGCAGCAGUGGGGAAUUUUGCGCAAUGGGGGAAACCCUGACGCAGCAACGCCGCGUGGAGGAUGAAGUCCCUUGGGAUGUAAACUCCUUUCGAUCGGGACGAUUAUGACGGUACCGGAAGAAGAAGCCCCGGCUAACUUCGUGCCAGCAGCCGCGGUAAU
rnacentral:rRNA from 1 species